GGUAGAUAUCAACUGAGAAAAUACCCAGGCAGAUCUCUGAGGGUAGAUGGAAACAGGAGAAAAAUGCAGAGAGAAAGAAAGAAAAAAAAAAGUGUCACAAGAUAUUUUGCUGAAAUAGCAACCGUCUAGAUUUUGCUGAAAUCUUUUUUUUUUUUUUUAAUAUUUGGUUUAUAAAAGAAACGGCCGAGAGCUGGUCUGUCUCUCGGGGGGUGUUUGCAUUGCCUGCUGCUCCUUCAGGCAAGU